UGGGGAAUCAUGGUCAAUGGGCGAAAGCCUGAACCUGCGACGCCGCGUGAGUGAUGAAGGUCGUAAGAUCGUAAAACUCUUUUCAGGGAUCUUAAAGCACAACCGUCAACAACGGCUGUGUGUGACUCUCCCUGGAAGAAGCCCCAGCCACCUACGUGCCAGCAGCUGCGGUAAUCCGUAGGGGGCGAGCGUUAUUCGGAAUUACUGGGUGUAAAGGGUAUGUAGGCGGCCCGUCAAGUCGCGUGUCAAAGUCCAGUGAUGAACGCUGGGUGUGCGCGCGAUACUGACGGGCUUGAGGGCUG
rnacentral:rRNA from 1 species